AUUCUCUUCAGUAGAACGUACACUAAAACUGGAACGAUACAGAGAAGAUUAGCAUGGCCCCUGCGUAAGGAUGACAUGCAAAUUCAUGAAAUGUUACAUAUUUUU